rnacentral:pre_miRNA from 1 species
AUAUGAAUCACCUGGGCAUCUUGUUACGAUGCAGAUUCUGAUUCAGCAGGUCUGGGGUGGGGCCCAAGAGUCUGCAUUUCUAACAGAGUCCUAGGUGAUGCCCAU